rnacentral:rRNA from 3 species
AAAUUGAAGAGUUUGAUCAUGGCUCAGAUUGAACGCUGGCGGCAGGCCUAACACAUGCAAGUCGAACGGUAACAGGAAUCAGCUUGCUGAUUCGCUGACGAGUGGCGGACGGGUGAGUAAUGUCUGGGAAACUGCCUGAUGGAGGGGGAUAACUACUGGAAACGGUAGCUAAUACCGCAUAA